UGGGGUAUAUCUCAGUGGUAGAGUGGUUGACUGUCAUGCACCAAGUCCUGGGUUCAAAUCCUAGAAUCAUAA
rnacentral:tRNA from 1 species